GCAAGCAGUGGCAGAGUGAGGAGCUCUCUCAUAAACCUAUGUCCUGCACACCAACAGCUGGACCACUCCUGGGCCACUUCCUCUCUGGACAUUCCACCACUAGUGUCUACUGUGUCCAUGACCAUGUGCAACAAAGACAGACUGAUCCAAGGAUUUCCAGAGCCUUCUGACCAACUACCUGCGAUCUCUCCAGAGCACAGAGAAGUGAGUCUGCUGGGCUAUGGAACUCUAGAGCAGCACAUCAACAAACCUGUCACUCUGUUGUCAGCUAUCCGCAGACUUUCAAUGGCCACAUUUUGGGGAUGACCAAAUGCCAUGAAGUUUUGUAUGAACAACAAUUUUUAAUUUUUUUAUUGUAAGAUUACAAAACAAUAACUUUUUCAAAGCAUGUUUGUCAUGUUGGUCUUCACUUGUUUACUAACUGCUGUGAUAACUUAAACAUCCAGACAAAUACACUUAGAGAUUAUGAUUUAAAAGGAGUCUCAUGUCCAGAGUGAACAUUUUUAUUAAUGUCUUUCCGGUGAGAAGAAGGCAGUGGGAAGGUAGGCCCCUAAAUGGCAGGAAAUCCAAAGAAAGAAGACGAGUAGACAGCCGGUAUGUAGCAAUAAACUUUAGUGAACUAUUAACAGAAUAUAUUUACAAAAUAAUACAUAUGGGAGCAGUCAGUCUAGUACAUCAGGACGCACAACUGCAACGUGUUUCGACUACUAGAGCCUUCCUCAGGGAGC